rnacentral:tRNA from 1 species
UGCAUGAAUAGCUCAGUUGGUUAGCGCAUGGUGAUGAUAAUGCCAAGGUUGCAGGUUCGAUCCCCGUAUAGGUCAGUUGCAU